rnacentral:tRNA from 1 species
ACCUGGAUAGCUCAGUCGGAAGAGCACGUGACUCUCAGUCUUGUGGUCGUGAGUUCAAGCCCCACACUGGGUA